GCAAUAGUAGCUCAGCACCAGAACACCAGUCUUGUAAACCGGACGUCGGAGGUUAAAAUCCCCCCUAUUGCU
rnacentral:tRNA from 2 species